rnacentral:rRNA from 1 species
CUCACUAGUCGAGUCGGCCUGCGCGGAAGAUGUAACGGGGCUCAAACCACACACCGAAGCUGCGGGUGUCACGUAAGUGACGCGGUAGAGGAGCGUUCUGUAAGCCUGUGAAGGUGAGUUGAGAAGCUUGCUGGAGGUAUCAGAAGUGCGAAUGCUGACAUGAGUAACGACAAUGGGUGUGAAAAACACCCACGCCGAAAGACCAAGGGUUCCUGCGCAACGUUAAUCGACGCAGGGUUAGUCGGUUCCUAAGGCGAGGCUGAAAAGCGUAGUCGAUGGGAAACAGGUUAAUAUUCCUGUACUUCUGGUUACUGCGAUGGAGGGACGGAGAAGGCUAGGCCAGCUUGGCGUUGGUUGUCCAAGUUUAAGGUGGUAGGCUGAAAUCUUAGGUAAAUCCGGGGUUUCAAGGCCGAGAGCUGAUGACGAGUCGUCUUUUAGAUGACGAAGUGGUUGAUGCCAUGCUUCCAAGAAAAGCUUCUAAGCUUCAGGUAACCAGGAACCGUACCCCAAACCGACACAGGUGGUCGGGUAGAGAAUACCAAGGCGCUUGAGAGAACUCGGGUGAAGGAACUAGGCAAAAUGGCACCGUAACUUCGGGAGAAGGUGCGCCGGCUAGGGUGAAGGAUUUACUCCGUAAGCUCUGGCUGGUCGAAGAUACCAGGCCGCUGCGACUGUUUAUUAAAAACACAGCACUCUGCAAACACGAAAGUGGACGUAUAGGGUGUGACGCCUGCCCGGUGCCGGAAGGUUAAUUGAUGGGGUUAGCGCAAGCGAAGCUCUUGAUCGAAGCCCCGGUAAACGGCGGCCGUAACUAUAACGGUCCUAAGGUAGCGAAAUUCCUUGUCGGGUAAGUUCCGACCUGCACGAAUGGCGUAACGAUGGCGGCGCUGUCUCCACCCGAGACUCAGUGAAAUUGAAAUCGCUGUGAAGAUGCAGUGUAUCCGCGGCUAGACGGAAAGACCCCGUGAACCUUUACUGUAGCUUUGCACUGGACUUUGAGCCUGCUUGUGUAGGAUAGGUGGGAGGCUUUGAAGCGUGGACGCCAGUUCGCGUGGAGCCAUCCUUGAAAUACCACCCUGGCAUGCUUGAGGUUCUAACUCUGGUCCGUGAUCCGGAUCGAGGACAGUGUAUGGUGGGCAGUUUGACUGGGGCGGUCUCCUCCUAAAGAGUAACGGAGGAGUACGAAGGUGCGCUCAGACCGGUCGGAAAUCGGUCGCAGAGUAUAAAGGCAAAAGCGCGCUUGACUGCGAGACAGACACGUCGAGCAGGUACGAAAGUAGGUCUUAGUGAUCCGGUGGUUCUGUAUGGAAGGGCCAUCGCUCAACGGAUAAAAGGUACUCCGGGGAUAACAGGCUGAUACCGCCCAAGAGUUCAUAUCGACGGCGGUGUUUGGCACCUCGAUGUCGGCUCAUCACAUCCUGGGGCUGAAGCCGGUCCCAAGGGUAUGGCUGUUCGCCAUUUAAAGUGGUACGCGAGCUGGGUUUAGAACGUCGUGAGACAGUUCGGUCCCUAUCUGCCGUGGACGUUUGAGAUUUGAGAGGGGCUGCUCCUAGUACGAGAGGACCGGAGUGGACGAACCUCUGGUGUUCCGGUUGUCACGCCAGUGGCAUUGCCGGGUAGCUAUGUUCGGAAAAGAUAACCGCUGAAAGCAUCUAAGCGGGAAACUUGCCUCAAGAUGAGAUCUCACUGGGAACUUGAUUCCCCUGAAGGGCCGUCGAAGACUACGACGUUGAUAGGCUGGGUGUGUAAGCGUUGUGAGGCGUUGAGCUAACCAGUACUAAUUGCCCGUGAGGCUUGACCAU